UCAUAUUCACCAGAAAAACUUUAUCUUCCACAUUCUAAUCGUCCUCCUUCCGUCCUUGUUACACAAUCAAAACAAGAUUCCAGGGCAAACCUCGUUCAGGCCCAGGCAGCCAUUACAAGCCAUUACAGGGAGGACGUCCAGGAAGGGAACCGCUGCAGCAUCAAGAAAAGCCUGCCAGAAGAUCACAUAGAGAAGAAAAGGCAUUAGCUUGGCACACAUCACGUACAACAAGAUGAGGUAAAUUUAUCACACAAGCACAUUGUCUCAUCCAUGACUAUUGAACAUGAUAUCCAUAACUUGAUUUGGAAACAUGCCCCAAAUUACUACUGUAGACAGAAAUGUAUCACAUGACCAAGGACAAGAUGAUGCACAUGAAGGACCCAUUAGUGACAGCACAUAAAGGUUCUCAAACUUGGCAACUCCAAUGCCAGUGACAUUGCAAUACAAAAAUAGUUAGAUUUCUUUCAAGGUAUCCACAUCGAAAUGAUGCGGAUGGGGAUAAGUUAAAUUGGAGCUGAGAGUUAUUUGGAGUUAUGGUUCGUUCUAGAGCUUAGAAAAUAUUUUCUAGUUAGGUUGAGGUCUCAUUUAACGUUUCUUCGAGUUAGCAUUACUGUAGGGUUAGUAUUAUAGGGUUUGAUUUAAUCUUUAGAAGCAAGGUCAUUGUCGUAAUUCCAAAAUUAAUUAGAAAUACAAAAUUAAUAAUUUAUUAGGGUAUUUUACGAAGUC